rnacentral:rRNA from 1 species
UGCCUAAUGCAUGCAAGUAGAACGGGCUCCGCAAGGAGCAAGUUGCGAACGGCUGAGUAAUGGAUAGGAAUCUCCCAAAUGGUGUGGAAUACCUCAUCGAAAGAUGAGCUAAUACCGCAUGACCCCACAAGGGAAAAGCGCUUAACUGCGCGCCGAUUGAUGAGCCUAUCUCCCAUCAGGCAGAUGACGAGGGUAAUAGCCCACCAUACCUAUGACGGGUACCCGCCCUGAGAGGGGAAACGGGCAGAAUGGGACUGAGACACGGCCCAUACACCUACGGGUGGCAGCAACAGGGAAUCGUGCGCAAUGGACGAAAGUCUGACGCCGCAAUGCCGCGUGGAGGAUGAAGGCCCUAGGGUCGUAAACUCC